rnacentral:rRNA from 1 species
UACGUAUGGUGCAAGCGUUAUCCGGAUUUACUGGGCGUAAAGGGAGCGCGGGCGGCGCGCCAAGUCUGAUGUGAAACCCCGGGGCUCAACCCCGGGCAUGCAUUGGAAACUGGCGGGCUGGAGUGCCGGAGAGGUAAGCGGAAUUCCUAGUGUAGCGGUGAAAUGCGUAGAUAUUAGGAGGAACACCAGUGGCGAAGGCGGCUUACUGGACGGCAACUGACGCUGAGGCUCGAAAGCGUGGGGAGCAAACAGG